CUUCACAGCUGUGUAAGGGCUGCUGCUCUCAAUAUUAUUAUCAACUAUAAUAGCUAAUAUUCAGUGCUUGCUCUGUGGUAGGCAUAAGAAAGGUGAAAGUGUCACACAAAUCUGAACCAUUAUUUUUAUAUUAUAUUAAUGAAUUUAAUGGUUGAUUCAGAAGGAAAUGGCAACCCACUCCAGUAUUCUUGCCUGGAGAAUCCCCUGGAUGGAGGAGCCUGGUAGGCUACAGUCCAUGGGGUCACAAAGAGUGGGACACAAAUGAGCGACUUCACCUUCAUUUUAAGAAAACAAUUGGUACUGCUUUUGGUGAGUUUGGCAUGGCCAGGCUCAUGCCAUGUGCUUCCAGUGGAUUCUUCACUUAGGCCUCCCUACAACCUCGUGAGGUGAGUCUGCUCUUCUUCCCAUUUACGGACAAGGUGAGUAUGUCUCGGUUUAAUCAACUUACUCAAAUCAUGGUGCCAGUAAUUAGUAGAACAAGGAGUUCAAACCCAGAUCUCUUUGACUUAGGACAAAGCACAGAUCCCCCAAAUCGGCAGAAUGACACUCUGCAAACAGAGAGGGCUGCAAGGUGCCACCAGGUGACGUGCCCACAACGUCCACUUGUGCUGGGCAGAAAGACGGACCACUGAGGGGAAAGAGAGACAACUCGGCGCCAAGUCCUGCAUGGAUUAACAAGCCAGUGAUUGCCGAGGCUGUGAGGCAGUUCCUGUGAUAAUCAUUAGCAUCUAGAUUCCAGAACCACGGGGAUCACCGAAGACAGCUGCCUGGCGAAGGGCCUCCCUGGUUUCCCUGAGAAUGCCCUUGCUCUGCACCCGGAGAAACCCACAGGUGCCCCACGGAGCAGCAGCACCCUCUGCACCGGGCCCUGUGGGCACCGCUUUCUCCCAAGGGAAAAAUCUCGCAGUUCCUAUGUGGUGGGAACUCCGCGUCUACAGAGCAGCUUCUGGCAGGAAAGCCCAUGGCAGAGUCCAGCAAGGGGCUACCAAGCCCUGGAGCGCUGCCUCCUGCUUGGCGGGGCUCAGAGGGGGGAUGGAGACCUUCUCAGGCACCAGCAAAUCCGCAGUGUCGGUAGCGGCCGCCGUUCUUCUCACCCGGAGGGAGCCCGGCCGGGUCCACUGGGCUCCCUGCCCAAGCCCUGUGGGCAGUCAGGUCAAGAAAACCCAGGUGGAGAGAAUGUUCUAAGCUGUUCCCUGCAGACAACACAGUCAUCACGUGGAAUUCAGGCCUCCUCACUGGAUUCAUCUUGGCUAAGAGAUGCACACACACACGGGAGGAUCUGGAGAUGAACCAAAUAUGGACUCAGAACCAGGCAAAGCAAGCUGAUGGGCCAGGGCCUUGCCACUGGCUGCUGGUCUAGUGGCUAGGAUUCCGCGCUGUCUCUGCCACGGCCUGACUUCACUCUCCAGCUGGGAAUCUAAAUCCUGCUUCAAGCCACUGCAGGCCGAGAUCAACCUGAGUUGGCAGAUAGAGCCCACGAUGACCCAUAGGACGGCAGCUGGAAUGGUGCUGGGAGGGCCCACAGGCAGGGCUUGCGUGCCUACCCCGCAGGUCUGGAGUGGCUAGCUGUCUGUGGAAGGGCCCUGGGGCUGCCCUGGAUUUGGUGAGAAAAGGGAUCUCAGCCAGCUUCCACCUCUGCUGUGGACACAGGCUCCGAGCCUUGGAACGCUCUGAGAGCCGGAAGGUGCCUGCAGAGUCGGUUGCAGGCAACUGACUGUUGUGUGACAUCAGGGUUCUUGCUUAACCUGUGAACCCCCAUCUCUAUAAACUGAUGGAAAGCUAUCUAUGAUCUAGGAUUCUUAUGAAGAGUAAACGAAGCAAUGUUUGCAGAGCACCUGGGACCCAACGUAUACUAUGUCUCUCCUCUUCUCACCUUCUAAGGUAUCCUCAUGUCAGACACCUUUUCUUUGUGUCUAUAUCAGUGGAUGUAUUUACCGUUCAGUCCCUCCUUCAUGCAGAUGCAAAUCUGUCUGGGACUAAGGACAGAAGCAUACUUCAGCAGUGACCCAUCCUGGGUGUGACACAAUUUCUCUGGCAUUGACUUUCAGGUGUGAGUCUGGUUGGAAUUCUGCAGGGACGGGUUUUCAG
ensembl:lncRNA